CAGUCGCCACGGUAAUACAGAGGGUGCAAGCGUUAAUCGGAAUUACUGGGCGUAAAGUGCGCGUAGGUGGUUUGUUAAGUUGGAUGUGAAAUCCCCGGGCUCAACCUGGGAACUGCAUCCAAAACUGGCAAGCUAGAGUAUGGUAGAGGGUGGUGGAAUUUCCUGUGUAGCGGUGAAAUGCGUAGAUAUAGGAAGGAACACCAGUGGCGAAGGCGACCACCUGGACUGAUACUGACACUGAGGUGCGAAAGCGUGGGGAGCAAACAGGAUUAGAUACCCCGGUAGUCCCUGUCUCUUAUAA
rnacentral:rRNA from 1 species